CACAGGUGGUGCAUGGUUGUCGUCAGCUCGUGUCGUGAGAUGUUGGGUUAAGUCCCGCAACCGAGCGCAACCCUUGUGUUAGUUGCAAACAGGUCAAGCUGUGCACUCUAGACAGACUGCCGUGGAACAACACGGAGGAAGGUGGGGAUGACGUCAAAUCAUCAUGCCCCGUUAUGAUCUGGGCUACACACGUGCUACAAUGGCCGGUACAACGGGCAGCGAAGGAGCGAUCCGGAGCGAAUCCUAAAAAGCCGGUCCCAGUUCGGAUUGCAGGCUGAAACUCGCCUACAUGAAGUUGGAGUUGCUAGUAAUCGCGAAUCAGAAUGUCGCGGUGAAUGCGUUCCCGGGUCUU
rnacentral:rRNA from 1 species